rnacentral:rRNA from 1 species
CACGUAGGGCGCAAGCGUUAUCCGGAAUUAUUGGGCGUAAAGAGCUCGUAGGCGGUUUGUCGCGUCUGCCGUGAAAGUCCGGGGCUCAACUCCGGAUCUGCGGUGGGUACGGGCAGACUAGAGUGAUGUAGGGGAGACUGGAAUUCCUGGUGUAGCGGUGAAAUGCGCAGGUAUCAGGAGGAACACCGAUGGCGAAGGCAGGUCUCUGGGCAUUAACUGACGCUGAGGAGCGAAAGCAUGGGGAGCGAACAGG